UGGGGGAUAUUGCACAAUGGGCGAAAGCCUGAUGCAGCGACGCCGCGUGGGGGAUGAAGGCCUUCGGGUUGUAAACUUCUUUUGCUCUGAACAAGGCGCACCUUGGGUAGUGCUGAGCGUAGGGGUUGAUUAGCGCCGGCUAACUACGUGCCAGCAGCCGCGGUAAUACGUAGGGCGCGAGCGUUGUCCGGAAUUAUUGGGCGUAAAGGGCUUGUAGGUGGCUGGUUGCGUCUGUCGUGAAAGCUCAUGGCUUGACUGUGGGUUUGCGGUGGGUACGGGCUGGAUUGAGUGCAGUGGGGGGGGCUGGAAGUCCUGGUGUAGCGGUGGAAUGCGCGGAUAUCAGGAGGAAUAACGGUGACGGAAGCGGGUCUAUGGGUUGUUACAGACACUGAGUGGCGAAAGCAUGAGGAGCGAGCAGG
rnacentral:rRNA from 1 species